rnacentral:rRNA from 1 species
CGCGAAUUCGCCCUUUGCCAGCAGCCGCGGUAAUACGUAGGGUGCAAGCGUUGUUCGGAAUUAUUGGGCGUAAAGCGCGCGUAGGCGGGCUAAUAAGUCGAUUGUGAAAUCCCUGGGCUCAACCCGGGAACUGCAGUCGAAACUGCUAGUCUUGAAUGCUUGAGAGGGUGGUGGAAUUCCUGGUGUAGAAGUGAAAUUCGUAGAUAUCAGGAGGAGCACCUGAGGCGAAGGCGACCACCUGGCAAGACAUUGACGCUGAGGCGCGAAAGCGUGGGGAGCAAACAGGAUUAGAUACCCUGGUAGUCC